rnacentral:rRNA from 1 species
UACGUAGGGUGCGAGCGUUGUCCGGAAUUAUUGGGCGUAAAGCGCGCGCAGGUGGUUUCUUCAGUCUGAUGUGAAAGCCCACGGCUCAACCGUGGAGGGUCAUUGGAAACUGGGAGACUUGAGUGCAGAAGAGGAAAGUGGAAUUCCAUGUGUAGCGGUGAAAUGCGUAGAGAUAUGGAGGAACACGAGUGGCGAAGGCGACUUUCUGGUCUGUAACUGACACUGAGGCGCGAAAGCGUGGGGAGCAAGCAGG